AAUUUCUAGUAGUUUUCUGAGUAAAUCUUAAAGAUGAUGAACUGAGAGACGGUAAAAAAGACUGUUGUGAGUAUUUCUUACUCACUGGAGAUGAUACGUACGUGAUGGUGGUCUUUAAUAGUGUUAUGAUUUCUGUUUCAUUUAAUGGUAUACAAGUUGUUUGUAACAUGCUUUGUUUGGAGCUUUGAAUACCUCACUGUUGUGAGUAUUACUUACUCAUUGGGGAUGAUACGUGUUGGUGGUCUUUGAUGACGUUAUGGGGAAAUGCUAAAGAUGAGUCUUUCAUCCCCCCCUUGUCACCCCCUUUUCCUUAAAAAAAUUGAUUUUUAUUAUAAAUGAGUGACAAGGGGGGAUGAGGGGUGCAUAUGUAGAAAGACUCGACGUUAUGACAUCUGUUUUAUUUAAUUGUAUGCGAGUUGUGUGUAACAUGUUUUGUUUGGAACUAUGCCUAUUUUAUUAAGAAUAUUAUUGACAUGA